rnacentral:rRNA from 1 species
GGAGUCUGGGCCGUAUCUCAGUCCCAAUGCGCCCGUCCGACCUCUCAGUCCGGGUACCCGUCAUAGCUUAGGUGGUCCGUUACACCGCCUACAGGCUGAUGGGACGCGGGCCGCUCCCCCGGCGGGGCCGAAGCCCCUUUCCUCCCCCUCCUCCAGCAAGGGGGACCUCAUCCGGUAUCACCCGGCAUUUCUGCCGGCUGUCCCCGUCCGGGGGGUGCGUCACCCACGCGCUCCUCGCCAGUCCGCCGCUCUCACGUGGUGCAAGCACCACGAUCCCGCCCGACUUGCAUGCUUAAGACGCGCCGCCAGCGUUCGUU